GAUGAACGCUGGCGGCGUGCCUAAUACAUGCAAGUCGAGCGAAUGACGAGGAGCUUGCUCCUCUGAUUUAGCGGCGGACGGGUGAGUAACACGUGGGUAACCUGCCUGUAAGACGGGGAUAACUCCGGGAAACCGGAGCUAAUACCGGAUGAUAACGAGAAGCGCCUGCUUCUUUUUUGAAAGUCGGUUUCGGCUGACGCUUACAGAUGGGCCCGCGGCGCAUUAGCUAGUUGGUGAGGUAACGGCUCACCAAGGCGACGAUGCGUAGCCGACCUGAGAGGGUGAUCGGCCACCCUGGGACUGAGACACGGCCCAGACUCCUACGGGAGGCAGCAUGAGGGAAUCUUCGGCAAUGGACGAAAGUCUGACCGAGCAACGCCGCGUGAGCGAUGAAGGCCUUCGGGUCGUAAAGCUCUGUUGUCAGAGAAGAACAAGUACCGGAGUAACUGCCGGUACCUUGACGGUACCUGACCAGAAAGCCACGGCUAACUACGUGCCAGCAGCCGCCGUAACAC
rnacentral:rRNA from 1 species